rnacentral:rRNA from 1 species
UACGAAGGGGGCUAGCGUUGUUCGGAUUUACUGGGCGUAAAGCGCACGUAGGCGGUUCUUUAAGUCAGAGGUGAAAUCCCAAGGCUCAACCUUGGAACUGCCUUUGAUACUGGGGAUCUUGAAUCCGGGAGAGGUGAGUGGAAUUCCGAGUGUAGAGGUGAAAUUCGUAGAUAUUCGGAAGAACACCAGUGGCGAAGGCGGCUCACUGGACCGGCAUUGACGCUGAGGUGCGAAAGCGUGGGGAGCAAACAGG